rnacentral:rRNA from 1 species
CCCUUAGAUGUUCUGGGCUGCACGCGCGCUACACUGAUGCGCUCAACGAGUUUACGACCUUGCCCGGAAGGGUUGGGUAAUCUUUUUAAAACGCAUCGUGAUGGGGAUAGAUUAUUGCAAUUAUUAAUCUUUAACGAGGAAUUCCUAGUAAGCGCGAGUCAUCAGCUCGUACUGAUUACGUCCCUGCCCUUUGUACACACCGCCCGUCGCUCCUACCGAUUGAAUGAUCCGGUGAAUAAUUCGGACUGCAGCAGUGUUCAGUUCCUGAACGUUGCAGCGGAAAGUUUAGUGAACCUUAUCACUUAGAGGAAGGAGAAGUCGUAACA